AUUGAACGCUGGCGGCAGGCCUAACACAUGCAAGUCGAGCGGCAGCGGGAGGAAGCUUGCUUCCUCGCCGGCGAGCGGCGGACGGGUGAGUAAUGUCUGGGAAACUACCCGAUGGAGGGGGAUAACUACUGGAAACGGUAGCUAAUACCGCAUAACGUCUACGGACCAAAGUGGGGGACCUUCGGGCCUCACACCAUCGGAUGUGCCCAGAUGGGAUUAGCUGGUAGGUGGGGUAAUGGCUCACCUAGGCGACGAUCCCUAGCUGGUCUGAGAGGAUGACCAGCCACACUGGAACUGAGACACGGUCCAGACUCCUACGGGAGGCAGCAGUGGGGAAUAUUGCACAAUGGGCGCAAGCCUGAUGCAGCCAUGCCGCGUGUGUGAAGAAGGCCUUCGGGUUGUAAAGCACUUUCAGCGAGGAGGAAGGCGUUGUAGUUAAUAACUGCAGCGAUUGACGUUACUCGCAGAAGAAGCACCGGCUAACUCCGUGCCAGCAGCCGCGGUAAUACGGAGGGUGCAAGCGUUAAUCGGAAUUACUGGGCGUAAAGCGCACGCAGGCGGUCUGUUAAGUCAGAUGUGAAAUCCCCGGGCUUAACCUGGGAACUGCAUUUGAAACUGGCAGGCUAGAGUCUCGUAGAGGGGGGUAGAAUUCCAGGUGUAGCGGUGAAAUGCGUAGAGAUCUGGAGGAAUACCGGUGGCGAAGGCGGCCCCCUGGAC
rnacentral:rRNA from 1 species